ACACGUUGUCGUAUUCAGAUGUCGUCUUUGGUGACGCUGACAUUACUGACGCCUAUGCGGUUUUUACAGAUGCCGGCGGAAAGCAAGUAUCCGUAGGCGAUUCAACAGACUUCAGUUGGUUGGCAAAGUUUUUGAAAGAGUUGCUAGACGAUGACCCUGAGCUUGCUCUGGCUCUUGGUGCUAUUACGGCGCUCACAGAAGUUAUCAAAAGAAGCAAAGAGGCUACCCUGAUGGGUUUGCACCACGAGCUCGAGAAGGCGACGUCGUUCUUGUGUGAUGCAUUUGGAUCAACAAGCAUGUCUGUCAGGUCUGGUGCAGAUAUAUUUUUGUGUUUUGUGACGCGAACUUGGCUUGAAAUUCCUGUACGGUUUUAUUUCGCUUUUUCUCCGCCGAAUAACGCGUGACUGACCGCGAAAGAAAGGAUUUCCAUGCAUGCAAAAUGCGCUUGGUAAAGAGGGGAGAGCAACUCAAGGCGCAAACUAUGACUGCUCGAAAGUAUAUCGCUUCGUUCGCCGAGUCUUUUUUGCGCGACGGGAUGACUAUUUUGAGCCAUGGGUAUUCGCGUGUCGUAUACAGCAUUAUCAAUGCAGCCGUAUCCAAGGGGAAACGCAUUACAGUUGUUCAAACAGAAGCCAGGCCUCAAGGAGAUGGCAUGAAAAUGGCGGAGCGUAUGAGUUCUGAAGUCAACGUGCACAUUACCUUGAUCCCGGAUUCUGCCGUUGCCUAUGUGAUGGGCGACGUUGACAUGGUCAUCGUAGGUGCGGAAGCGGUUGCUGAAAAUGGUGGCAUCAUCAACAAAAUUGGCACAUAUCAGUUGGCGAUUGUUUCGAAGGCGCUCAAUAAGCCGUUUUAUGUCGCCGUUGAGAGUUUUAAGAUGACCAGAAUAUAUCCACUUAACCAGCGCGAGAUAAACAAUCGACAAGUUCCAUUGGACACUGCUACAACAGGACAGUACCAGACCAAUUCUACGAAUGAGUUUUGUCAGCUGGCCCCAAACGUUCGACUUAACAGUCCUUCUUUAGAUUUUACGCCUCCACAGUAUAUCACUUUGUUAUUUACAGACUUGGGUAUUCUCACGCCAUCAGCCGUUUCAGAUGAACUGAUCAAGUUGUAUUCCUAGGCAUUGUUUGACUGACUUGUCGAAUUUCGUGUUGUAUCAAAACACAGCGAGGUGAUUAAAAAAUUUUUGCGGCCUUUGUGUUUUUUCCCAUUUUUUUUGGCGUUACUCUGGAGGGGCGAUGAACGGAGUCUGAGUGGGUUCCUGGUCCUGCUCGAUUUGCCUGGCGAACGUCUCGAAUUGCUUCAGAACAGAUGACCGAC